UACGUAGGCAGCAAGCGUUGUUUCGGAGUUACUGGGGCGUAAAGGGUGCGUAGGCGGCUUCCUAAGUUUGAUGUGAAAUCCUGGGGGCUCAACCCCUGGAAACUGCAUUGAAUACUGGGAGGCUAGAGUACUGGAGAGGAACUGGAAUUUACGGUGUAGCAGUGAAAUGCGUAGAGAUCGUAAGGAAGACCAGUGGCGAAGGCGAGUUCUGG
rnacentral:rRNA from 1 species